GACGAACGCUGGCGGCGUACUUAACACAUGCAAGUCGAACGGAAAGGCCCUGCUUUUGUGGGGUGCUCGAGUGGCGAACGGGUGAGUAACACGUGAGUAACCUGCCCUUGACUUUGGGAUAACUUCAGGAAACUGGGGCUAAUACCGGAUAGGAGCUCCUGCUGCAUGGUGGGGGUUGGAAAGUUUCGGCGGUUGGGGAUGGACUCGCGGCUUAUCAGCUUGUUGGUGGGGUAGUGGCUUACCAAGGCUUUGACGGGUAGCCGGCCUGAGAGGGUGACCGGCCACAUUGGGACUGAGAUACGGCCCAGACUCCUACGGGAGGCAGCAGUGGGGAAUAUUGCACAAUGGGCGGAAGCCUGAUGCAGCAACGCCGCGUGCGGGAUGACGGCCUUCGGGUUGUAAACCGCUUUCGCCUGUGACGAGGCGUGAGUGACGGUAAUGGGUAAAGAAGCACCGGCUAACUACGUG
rnacentral:rRNA from 1 species